rnacentral:tRNA from 1 species
GGACAGUUGGUAGAGCGGUUGAAUACACCAGUCUUGAAAACUGGCAAGCCCUCACGGGCUUCGAGGGUUCGAAUCCCUCACUGUCCGCCA